rnacentral:rRNA from 1 species
CUACGGGAGGCAGCAGUCGUGAAUUUUUCUCAAUGGGGGAAACCCUGAAGGAGCGACGCCGCGUGGGGGAUGAAUGGCUUUGGCCCGUAAACCCCUGUCAUUUGCGACUAAACCUUUCGAUCUAACACAUCGAAAGCUGAUUGUAGCAGAAGAGGAAGGGACGGCUAACUCUGUGCCAGCAGCCGCGGUAAUACAGAGGUCCCGAGCGUUGUUCGGAUUCACUGGGCGUAAAGGGUGCGUAGGUGGUGAGGUAAGUUUGGUGUGAAAGCUCCGAGCUCAACUCGGAAAUGGCAUCGAAUACUAUCUCGCUAGAGGUUUGUAGGGGGGACUGGAAUUCUCGGUGUAGCAGUGAAAUGCGUAGAUAUCGAGAGGAACACCAGUGGCGAAGGCGAGUCCCUGGACAACACCUGACACUGAGGCACGAAAGCUAGGGGAGCAAACAGGAUUAGAUACCCCGGUAGUCCG